rnacentral:rRNA from 1 species
UACGUAGGGUGCAAGCGUUAAUCGGAAUUACUGGGCGUAAAGCGUGCGCAGGCGGUUUUGUAAGUCUGUCGUGAAAUCCCCGGGCUCAACCUGGGAAUUGCGAUGGAGACUGCAAGGCUAGAAUCUGGCAGAGGGGGGUAGAAUUCCACGUGUAGCAGUGAAAUGCGUAGAUAUGCGGAGGAACACCGAUGGCGAAGGCAAUCCCCUGGGCCUGUACUGACGCUCAUGCACGAAAGCGUGGGGAGCAAACAGGAUUAGAUACCCUGGUAGUCCACGCCCUAAACGAUGUCUACUAGUUGUCGGGUCUUAAUUGACUUGGUAACGCAGCUAACGCGUGAAGUAGACCGCCUGGGGAGUACGGUCGCAAGAUUA